rnacentral:rRNA from 1 species
UUCGGAGGGAGCGCGCGUUAUCCGGAAUCCCUGGGUUUAAAGGGUGCGUAGGCGGCUCGGUAAGUCAGUUGGGAAAGCCCCUUGCUUAACGAGGGAGGUGCGAUUGAUACUGUCGCGCUUGAAUCGGGAUGAGGCAGGCGGAAUGUGGCAUGUACCGGGGAAAUGCAUAGAUAUGCCAUCGAACACCGAUUGCGAAGGCAGCCUGCUGGGCCGGUUAUGACGCUGAGGCACGAAAUCGUGGGGCGCAAACAGG